UACGGGGGGGGCAAGCGUUGUUCGGAAUUACUGGGCGUAAAGGGGUAGUAGGCGGCCAACUAAGUCCGACGUGAAAUCCCACGGCUUAACCGUGGAACUGCUUGGUAUACUGCCAGUCUUGAGCCAUCUAGGGGCUACCGGAACAAAUGGUGGAGCGGUGAAAUGCGUAGAUAUCAUUUGGAACGCCAAUGGUGAAAACAGGUAGCUGGGGAUGUGCUGACGCUGAGACACGAAAGCCAGGGGAGCAAACGGG
rnacentral:rRNA from 1 species